AAAGGGAAAUAAUCGCAGCAAAAAAUAAUAUAAAAUAAACAAAAUAAAGAGUAACAAAAUAAAAAUAGUAAAAAAAUAAUUAUGACUUAGGAACAUACUUAAAUAUGUCUAAAGAAGAAGCAGCUAAGCCGGCGGAAUAAAUUCCCGCUAUUGGGGUACCUACUUACUACCAAGUGCAUUUCCAAUCAGGAUUCAAAGCAGAAAAGGCAUUUACUUACAUGCCCGUUUUCCCGCUGAGCCACACGAUUUGCUAUGUAAAGAACCAGUAAGAACACCCAGAGAAUGAAUAUCUAAUGCACGCUUACCAUGCAUAUUGCAUAACGAUUCGACCUCGUCGCUCUGCCACGUAACGGCAUCGUCAUAGUGCCACACGGUGCACAGUGGAAUGCAUUUAGAAAUGAUAUCAGUUAUGUUAAAUGUGGUUAAUUUUACAUACAAAAGCGACAUCCAAGCUAACUUAUCAUCUUUCUAAGCCCAUUCACAAAUAAGCCGGCCUUGGUGACCUUGUUUAACCAGUUUUCUUCCAAUGCCAGCUUUCUUGCGGACGAUAGAAUGCUCGGAACCGGAUAGAUUACAAGACUCUCCCACCUUCCGCCAUUUACGGCUCGCACAGAAAGUUUGUGCGUGUGGCUCGUGGGAUGGAAGCCUCAGCGAGGGCGCGGUACCGGUAUAUAAGCCGGAAAGUCUGAGUUCCGGGGCACACUGCCAGGUCUUCCAUCUCUGCGUGAGCACGCACGGCUAGCUGGGCUCGAAGGACGAUAUGCUGACCCAUCUGACCAUCACGUUCGUCGCCCUCACUGUGGCUGUAGCAGCGGAGCCGCUGGACCUUUCAAGAGAAGAAAGGGGAGCACUGUUCAUUCGCCUUCCAGCACCGUAUGGUACCAGUCCGGUUAAGCAUGCUACGACCCGCAGAUUAGCGAACACCACAGCGUCGGAGAUGUCUGGUCGUCGCCCAACUCGGGCUGUAAGCUGAGCACCUGUGUCAACAUCAACGGCGUCCUCAACGUGGAACGAUAUUCAUGCCCGAUAGUUGGCAAAAAUGUCGACUUCACCCGACUGAAGAAAGAAAACUACUUCUGUCGCGAGGCCGCCGGUGACAGGAACAAGCAGUUCCCUUCGUGUUGCCCCUCUCUGCAGUGCAAACACUACGUGGAGGGCAAGCUGGUGCCGCUGCCCAAGCACAUGUACCCCACGCUGCGGUAACCCUCUGUGGAUGGGGAAAGCAGCCGUCGUGUGUCGAAGUCUUCUUCAGAUGAUUGUUUGAAAGCUGACGUUAAAUGUUGUUACACUGAUGUUGCAGUGACGCUAGCAGUGGGGAUAUAAACAUUUUUCAAUAUUGUAUGGGUGUUUCCAGUGAAUGUUUUCUAAUAUCAUCACUUAUCCCUAUUCGUGCAAUGCUGGUUAACCUGUUGAGAUUUGUAAGUAUAUGCGGAUAAAUGAUAGUAUGCCUACUGCCGAUUACAUUGCCAAUGAUGUGUUUAUUGAGCUCAUUUUAGCAGUCCAGUGUUAAGUGUUACAGGUGUUGCACUGAACUUGCAAUGCUACAAUCGAUGCUAGAAAUGAGUGAAACAGUACAAAUGGAAAAUAAAGACGAUACUAAAGUGAUAUUUUGAUUGUC
rnacentral:lncRNA from 1 species